AACGAACGCUGGCGGCAUGCCUAACACAUGCAAGUCGAACGAGACCUUCGGGUCUUGUGGCGCACGGGUGCGUAACGCGUGGGAACCUGCCCUUAGGUUCGGAAUAACUCCCCGAAAGGGGUGCUAAUACCGGAUAAUGUCUUCGGACCAAAGAUUUAUCGCCUUUGGAUGGGCCCGCGUUGGAUUAGCUAGUUGGUAGGGUAAAAGCCUACCAAGGUGACGAUCCAUAGCUGUUCUGAGAGGAUGAUCAGCCACACUGGGACUGAGACACGGCCCAGACUCCUACGGGAGGCAGCAGUGGGGAAUAUUGGACAAUGGGCGAAAGCCUGAUCCAGCAAUGCCGCGUGAGUGAUGAAGGCCUUAGGAUUGUAAAGCUCUUUUACCCGGGAUGAUAAUGACAGUACCGGGAGAAUAAGCUCCGGCUAGCUCCGUG
rnacentral:rRNA from 1 species